CCGACGUGGACAUCCAGCGAGUGUCUCUCCUGGCUCUGUUCUGGUGGCGUAUGGGAGCGUAGCCUCGCGCUAAGACGUACAUUCCCAUUCCACGACGUCGCACAACAAGUUCCGUCCCCGACUCUGUGGUCGGCGAGGAUGAACGUUCUGCAUAUUCCUACAACUUCCCAGAGUCCUUUGGGGCCCUUACUGGGGAGCCAAACCAUGCAGUGCACAUUU
ensembl:snoRNA SNORA73 Small nucleolar RNA SNORA73 family